ACCCGAAGGAGAGCUUUUUUCAUUUGAGUUAGACUCGAGUGAACCUGCUAUAGAAAGCAAAGCGACACAGGACAGCUAUUGGACCAUGGUCCAAAUGCGAUGCAAACGACUCACUUUGAUGUCGUUUAAGGAAAAGAUGGCGCGACGAUCGAGAUAGACGAGAAAGAUCAUGCUGAAACAAAGUCAUCUCGACUAAGAAGAGAGCAUUGGCAACGUUGCGGUCCAAAAACAGUUCGAGAAGAAGGAGCUCUGUGCUUAAAGUGUGCUUCCUACUACGAUAAAUGGUUUUCAACAGCGGUAUAUCAGGGUUG